ensembl:rRNA 5S_rRNA 5S ribosomal RNA
GUCUAGGGCCACUUCACUCUGAAUGCUCUCGAUAUCUUCUGAUCUCGGAAGCUAAGCAGGGUCGGGCCUGGUUAGUCCUUGGAUGGGAGAAGUGUGGCUACUACAUAAUAGGUGCUCAAAAUG